rnacentral:lncRNA from 10 species
AGUGGUUAUCACGUUCGCCUCACACGCGAAAGGUCCCCGGUUCGAAACCGGGCAGAAGCAACCUGUAUUUUUGAGGAAUCCUUAGCUGAAUUUCUCAGUGCACGUUUUUAGAAUUGCACCCCCGCACCAUCUUUAGCCGUUUAGGAGAGAAGGUUCUCCUUGUCACCUGUGGUGUGCAUAUAAACCGAAGUACACCUGCCGCCUUUCUCCCACCAGAGCCCUUCC